AGGGGUUUAACUUAAUAAAAGUACUUCGCUUACACCGAAUAAAUGUUUGUUUAACCCAAACAACCCCUAG
rnacentral:tRNA from 1 species